rnacentral:lncRNA from 1 species
CCAACUCCUUAUAAGUACCUAGGAUGUAUGAAAUUUUCUGAGGAUCCUCAAGAUGCAUUGGACAUUACCGUUGUCCAUUCGAUGCAUCCAACUAUCAACUGUCAAAGAAGCUUGCCAAACUAACAUUCGAACUGUUAUUGCUUCAAACUUAAAAAUGCGUUGAUUGCGCUCUUGCCACAAGCACCAACAGCCCAUGACGAACAGACUUUCUAUAGCUGAAA